GACGAACGCUGGCGGCGUGCUUAACACAUGCAAGUCGAACGGAAAGGCCCUGCUUUUGUGGGGUGCUCGAGUGGCGAACGGGUGAGUAACAAGUGAGUAACCUGCCCAUGAAUUUGGGAUAACUUCAGGCAACUGGGGCUAAUACAGGAUAGGAGCUACUGCUGCAUGGUGGGGGUAGGAAAGAUACGGCGGUCGGGGAUGGACUCGCGGCUUAUCAGCUUGUUGGUGGGGUAGUGGCUUACUAAGGCCUUGACUGGUAGCCGGCCUGAGAGGGUGACCGGCCACAUUGGUACUGAGAUACGGCCCAGACUCCUACGGGAGGCAGCAGUGGGGAAUAUUGCACAAUGGGCGGAAGCCUGAUGCAGCAACUCCGCGUGCGGGAUGACGGCCUUCGGGUUGUAAACCGCUUUCGCCUUUGACGAAGCGUGAGUGACGGUAAUGGGUAAAGAAGCACCGGCUAACUACGUG
rnacentral:rRNA from 1 species